rnacentral:rRNA from 1 species
UACAGAGGUCCCAAGCGUUGUUCGGAUUCACUGGGCGUAAAGGGUGCGUAGGUGGCCAGGUAAGUUCGGUGUGAAAGCUCGGAGCUUAACUCCGAAAUGGCAUUGAAUACUAUCUGGCUGGAGGGUCGGAGGGGAGACUGGAAUUCUCGGUGUAGCAGUGAAAUGCGUAGAUAUCGAGAGGAACACCAGUGGCGAAGGCGAGUCUCUGGACGACUCCUGACACUGAGGCACGAAAGCUAGGGGAGCGAAUGGG